GUGGUAACUCUGUAUAACUAGAAAUCAGGAGCAAAGGGUUUGAAUCUUAGGACCACUAGUCUCCAGCUCUGCGAUUUUAAGCAGGGCAUAACAGUCCUACACUUUAAUUUUCAGUUGUCUACACUUGCUCUAAAUGUGGCCCCUUGAUUCCUGAUGUAACAUAGAAGGCCAAAAUAAUUUGGUAGGUUUACCUGGUUCACGAAAUCACUGGGCCCUAAAAGGCUAAGUGUCUUCCCAAGUUUUUCAAAGAAAGCCAGAUCUUCAAAGUUUCAGAGCACCCAUACCUUCCCAAGUCACCUGUAAGCUAUUUUUCUACACAUUCAAGAGACAUUCAUUGUCAAACUGUCCUCUCUCUCUCCCCUCCUUCACUGACCUUCUUUUACAGGGUUUUAUAUGCUUUCUGUCCCCAUGUCUUGUAAGCCCACCCACCCACUUCCAUGAGACUCUUCUUACCAAGGUCAUCAUUGACGUCUGUGUGGCUUGAUCCUUACUUUACUUAAUCUCUCAUCAGCAUUAAAUCAUACUGAGGAUUUCUCAUUGCAGUAUACCCUGCUAUGGACAGAAUUGUGCCCCUCUCCCAGUUCCUCUGUUGAAGGCUUAAUCCCCAGUGUGAUGGUAUUUGGAGAUGGAGACAUGGGGAGGUAAUUACGGGUAAGUGAGGUCAUAACAGUCAGGCCCUCUGUGGAGAUGAAAGGAAAAAGAGCAGUCUCUUUCCCCACCCUAUGAAAAUAUAUCAAAAAGGUUGUUGUCUGCAAGCAAGGAAGAACAGAUGCUGACUCACAGACAUUGCAAAACUUAUGGUCUCUGGAGGAGACAGUUGGGGGGGUGGGGGGAUGUGCCUGGGCUGUGGGACGGAAAUCCUGUGAAAUUGGAUUGUGAUGAUCAUUAUACAACUACAGAUGUGAUCAAUUCAUUUGAGUGAUAAAAAAGAGAGAGAGAGAGAGCCUAGAAACAAAUCUUUCUUGCAUUCUGGCCUUGGACCUGCUUCCAAACUGUGAGAAAAUAAAUUUAAAAUUGUUAAGCCACUAGGUCCAUAAUAUUUCGUGAUGGCUGCCUGAACUAAGACACAGUCUCUUCCCUCGUCUUCAGCCAGGCUUCUCAUUCUAGCCUGAUGUUCUCUUUCAACACUGGCUGUUCUUGCUUUGCUUCUUUAAGUCAUAAUUUUUCCUGAUUAUGAAGAGAUCAAAUAUCCUCAAGGCUGAGAGAGUCAGUUAUUCUUCUCACUGCCAGCUCUUCCAGAAAUAUCCAUGACUAUGGCUUUAAUUGGCAUUUUGUCAAUAGUUUCCUCUGUAUCUCCAAUUUACUAUUCUUCUUUGAUAUCCAGAUCCAUAUACCCAACCACCUACUUUGAUUUCUCCUCCGUUUGUCUUGACAGUAUCUCCAAAUUGACCUGUGUAACCCUGAACUUGUGAUCUUAGUGAAUGAUACAAACGAAAGUAUUCUGGAUAGAAAUCUAGUGGCUAUCUAGAAGAUUGCUCUACCUUUAACCACUUACCAUCAAAUCCACCACUAAAUCCUCUUAAAUUUUCCUUUCUAUAGAUGCUUCCAAUGUCUUACCUCUCGCAACUUCACUGCCCACCUCCUAGUCUCAUAAUUUCUCCUAGUUCAUGGUGUGAAUUGGUCACUCUGCAGCCAAACUCUAUCUCUCUUCUCUUCUCCACACUGCAUUCAGAGAGAUUCUUAAACAUGGAUACUGGAGGAGGUUUUUUUAUUUUCAGCUCUGAAAGCACUUCUUGGGGCUGGCCUAUGAGGUCUUCUACGGCCUGGCCCCUGCUUCUAUCUCCUGUCUUCUUGCGUUCUUCCUUGCAGUCUGAUUUCUAGACAUACUGGCUUUAUUUCUCUUCUUGGAACAUGACCUGUAUUAUUUCAUCAUGUGCCUUUAAGUAGUCCUGUCUUUUCCUAGGGCUUUCACUUCUUCCUUCACCAGAUGAACCCUGCUCUUUCCUGUCAGCUCACGGCUCAUUUUCUUAAAGGCUCUUCCUGACUACAAAUGUUUACUGCAGUUCACUCCACUUCUCACCAACCACCUUGUCUUUGUCGCUUAAUCCAGUUGCUGUUUUCUAUUUAUUAUGUCUUCAUGUGGGCCUUUGAUCCAUAUUUGAAUCCUCAAGUCGACUGUAAACUUCCUGAGGGUAAGGAAUAUGUUUGCAUUUUCGUUUGGUUUGGUUUAGUUUUUGGUCACUAUUUUAUGUUCCGAACCUAAGUCAGUGCCUAUUACAUCAUAAAUGCUCAAUAACUACUACUACUUGAGUUUCGCGUGAAAGAAACCCAAAGCACCAGUGGGGGUACAGUGGAUAGAUACUUUUCCAAAUGCCAAUCAGUUAAAAUUUUGAACUGUCUUACUCGUUACUCAUCCCAUAACCAAUAGGAACAUUUGAGUUUUCAAAUCCCAAGUUGUCUUGCUUAUAAUGUACAAGUAGGAAGUUGUCUUACUUAUAAUGUACAAGUAGGUUGUCUAAGUUUAUUUCAGAGAUAAUAAAAUAUCUAAUCAAAAAAGUUAUGGGUUGGAGUUGAAAGGUGGCUCAGUGAGUUAAGAAUCAAGCAUUGUCACUGCUCUGGUGUAGGUCUGAUCCCUGGCCAAGGAACUUCUGCAUGCCCUGGACAUUGCCAAAAAACAAAAACCAAAAAAAAAAACAAAAACAAAAAAAAGUGGGAAGAAGUAGGGAAAGUUUUUUAUUAAUUAGCUAAAACACCAUAGACAUGCAGUUAUCCAAAUAUCCAUGCACUUCUGCCUUUAGAUAAAUUGAGAUAAAAUGAGAUGGAAUAAGAUUAUUUGAGUUUUAGGUAAUUUUUAAGAUUACUCUUUGGGUUCAGUAUUAUUUCUGAUAUUAUUGCUCAGCAAAGGCCUGUUCCUAUUUAGCAGCAAGGGCACAAUCAUGUGAGAUACAUUUAUAAGUGACAUCAGAAUAUUCUUUGCAGUUCCUCUUGUGGCUCAGCGGGUUAAGGACCUGACAUUGUUUCUGUGAGGAUGUGGGUUGGAUCCCUGGCCUUAUUCAGUGGGUUAAGGAGCCAGGGUUGCUGUAAGCAGUAGCGUAGGUCACAGGUGCAGCUCGGAUCCCGCAUUGCUGUGGCUGUGGUGUAGGCUGGCAGCUGCAGCUCUGAUUCUGCCCCUAGCCUAGGAACCUCCAUAUGCUGCAGGUGUGGCCCUAAAAAGAAAAAAAUAUUUAAUUUCCUGGAUGAAAGAAUAGUUGGAGAAACAGAUGGGCAGCAGUGAUAACUUUGACUGAUAAGAAGGUUAGGGAUGGUACCUUUUGGUUAUCUAUGCAAAGGGCAAAUAAGACAUUUUAGCUCAUUGUUUUCAACCCCAUUCUAGAGCAUAUGCUAGGCAUUUUAUUAAUAUUUAUUCUGAUCCAAUGUUUACUUUAUGCAUUAGAUUUUAAAUCAAGUUUGAUAUUAUCUGUAAGAUAAUGCAAUGUCAUUAUCUG
rnacentral:lncRNA from 1 species